GCGAACGCAUGUGCACGAGCUCUUAAAUAAAUCGCGGAGUUCGUCGAGAAGGAGCUCGGGCUCGGCCGACGAGACUGGAUGGAAGCCUCGCAGUGUUUAUACUCUCGACUCUUGUUUUUGUUUGCCCGCCCAAGGUGGCCCGAUCCGCUCGCGAAAUUCCCACGGUCGGAUUCUAACCUAGUUUAGGGGGCCCUCGGAGAGAUGCGAGCCGCGCGCACUUUAUAGGGAGUCGUCCACUGGUCCGACGAGCAGGAGUCGCGAGCCAGCAAGGAGAUUCGAGCCGCUAGAGAGAGGAGACGCAGGGAGUUCCUUGGCCGAAGUGAAAUUGUACCAGCUGUACGAGCCAGUAAUGUCCGUCCCUUCAUCGUCCUCUAAAGGGAUAAGUGGAGAGCAGCCCGGAGGAACGAGUCCUAGUCCUGUAGAAGGCGUAGAAGGAGUAGAAUGCGUGCCCGGUCCCAGUUCUUCCAACCCCGUCCAAUGCAUGCUGCCACAGGACGAGGAGUCGGAAGAGUACGGAGAAGAGGCAGAUGAGGAUGAGAGCAGCGAGGCUGAAAGCGAAAUCAGUGAUAAUGGUAUGUUUGGUGACGUCGAGUGCGAAGGAGAAAUUGAAAGCAAUGAGUGCAGGCCUCCUGCCGUACAAUCGCACCCACCACUGCCGCAGCGAGUUCAAAGUCCUAUUUUGCACACCUGUGUUCCUCUCGAUGUAGUCCAGCCUCAAAGAAAGCGCAAGAGUGAAACCGAGUCCAGUUUACCUUGUAAAAAGCUUAUUCCAGAAAAUAAGAGCAUACCCGUAAUGACUGUAAAAAAGGCAGAUGAUAAGGGAAAGCACGUUAGAUGCAUCAUACCGACUAGAGAUAACCCUCCGCCUGAGAUGAGUACCUGGCUCUUGCAAUUUCAGAAGUGGUCGAAUGCAGAGAGGAUGCUAGCAAUCGAUGAACUGAUCGAGAGAUGCGAGCCGACGCAGGUGCGCCACAUGAUGCAAGUGAUCGAGCCUCAGUUUCAAAGGGACUUCAUUUCUUUGCUCCCUAAAGAACUAGCCUUGUCAGUGUUAGCAUUUUUAGAACCUAGAGACUUACUGCGAGCAGCACAAACGUGUCGGAAUUGGCGUUUUCUCGCCGACGAUAACUUGCUGUGGAAGGAGAAGUGCAGAGCUGCGGGUAUAGAGGAUCUGAAGGACCUGCCGCCAUUAAAGAGGAAAAACUGCAGGAACUCUGGAAGUUGCUCGUCUCCGUGGAAGCAGGCCUACAUGCGACAGCAUAACAUCAAGAUGAACUGGAGGACGAAGCCUAUCCGGCCCCCGAAGGUCCUCAAGGGUCACGAUGACCACGUGAUCACUUGCCUUCAGUUCUCCGGGAACCGAAUAGUCAGUGGGUCUGACGAUAACACACUCAAAGUGUGGUCUGCAGUGACAGGGAAGUGCUUGCGGACGUUGGUGGGACACACCGGGGGAGUGUGGUCUUCGCAGAUGUCGGGCACUACGGUGAUCAGUGGGAGUACGGACCGAACUCUAAAAGUGUGGAACGCGGAGACCGGACAGUGUAUCCAUACAUUAUACGGUCACACCUCAACGGUGAGGUGUAUGCAUUUGCACGGGGAUAAAGUCGUCAGUGGCAGCAGGGACGCUACACUGAGGGUGUGGCAAGUCGAUACCGGGGAAUGUUUGCACGUGCUCGUGGGACAUAUGGCUGCUGUCAGGUGCGUGCAAUAUGACGGAAAGUUAGUGGUUAGCGGGGCUUACGACUUCAUGGUCAAGGUGUGGAAUCCUGAGAGGGAGGAGUGUCUUCACACGCUGCAGGGACACACCAAUCGGGUCUAUUCUCUUCAAUUCGACGGUGUUCACGUUGUCAGUGGGUCGCUGGACACGAGUAUAAGGGUCUGGGAGGUGGAGACCGGGGUGUGUCGGCACACGCUGAUGGGUCACCAGUCCCUGACCUCGGGGAUGGAGUUGCGCAACAACAUCCUGGUGUCGGGGAACGCGGACUCUACGGUUAAGGUCUGGGACAUCGUCAGUGGUCACUGCCUGCAGACUCUUUCUGGCCCUAACAAGCACCAGUCUGCUGUUACUUGCCUUCAGUUCAAUAGCCACUUUGUCAUCACCUCGUCGGAUGAUGGCACCGUCAAGCUCUGGGACGUUAAAACCGGCGAAUUUAUUAGGAAUCUCGUGGCAUUGGAGAGCGGUGGAAGUGGCGGCGUCGUUUGGCGUAUCAGGGCCAGCGAUACGAAGCUCGUCUGUGCCGUAGGCAGUCGCAACGGCACGGAGGAGACGAAACUCCUGGUCCUUGAUUUCGACGUCGAGGUGAAAUAGUCCAUCCUUUGGGUCGGAUCGCUCCUCCGUGUCGCUUCUGUACAUACUACGAUUAGGGUCUUAGUCCGAAAUCGUAAGGUGCAAGGAGCGCGGAAUGGAAAUCUUGUAUAUGGUGACAUGACUCCGAUUCGGUAAAUGCGCGUUCACCAAGUCAACGACGGCCACUCUUGUCAUGAACUCAUGUAGAUAAUCUUUUGUUUACAGGCAGAACAGGCGACGUAGACUCAGACUCUGACCAUUUUGGGAUUUUUCGUGAAUGGUCGUUAAAUAGUCAGAUUCGAGGUGCCCCUUUGCAGACGUAGACAUUUCCUUUUUUAAUGAUUUUCCAUUUGCAGUAUACAUGGUCUGUGUGCUCGACGCGGAUUGACGACAAGCGAGUUAACAGCGAUCGGGGGAAACACGAGACGUAGGGAAUAUUUUAAGAGCUCGCAGGAAAGUGCACGAAGGGCGUUUACGCAUUUACCGAAAUUUUGUGCCUACUCUCCGUAAUCGAGAAAGAAAGAAAGAAAAAAAAAAAUAGAAAUCGCCCCCUGCAAACGGGGAUACUGUGUAUGUCAGCGAAAGAGGCAAUUUCAAUUACGACACUUAGGGUCUAAUUUAAAGGUUCCGUUUAAGUCGAGGAUCGACCAGACGUGUGGAGGAUACUUAAUGGUGAACGUUUCAAUGGGACUCGAGCAGAUAUGGUAUCUUCUCUUCGAAGGCAGAAUUUGGUAAAAUGAAUUCAAGUGAUUAGGGAGGAACAAUAGAAAUAUCGAGAUCAUGGAAGGACGCGAUACUGAGCCUUAUCGUCUCCUUUUCUGCUCUCUUGUAUGCUUUCCGAGGAACUUUGCGGACUGUUUCCGACACUGGUGAAAAAAUGUCUGCAGUUUCAGGUCUCGUUUAGUCCCUAUGAGAUUUCGAUCCGUUGAAUUUAUUUCUGGGAUUCCUUGCUCUUCCUUUGAUAUUUGUAUUUUGUGGGGAGAAUUUAGUUACCUUUGGACUAAUCAGUUGACUGGAAAAUUAGAGGAAUCUAGCUCUUUUCUGGGUUUUGACAAAAUGAUGGCUUCGAUGAACCAGUUGGAGGGAUUUUUUCACCAGGACAUCGUUGGUGGGCCAAGUAAGGUGGCUAUGUGGUACAAACUGUAAAGAGUGCAUUUUUAAGUAGGUGGAUGAUGCUAAUGAAUCACUGCGCAUAGAUUUAACACCGAACUGUCAUACUAUAAUUGGGCCACUGUAGCUAUGGAAGGAAAUUAUGGCGAUGUGUCGGAGAAUUAAUUAUCAUUGCUUUGACGUCGGAGAUGCUUGGGUGAUCCUUGGCAGCACGCCGAGAGAAACCGAGUCGAUGACCGUAGAGAUCCGUCAAAGGAAGUCCGUGAUGAGAAGUCGAUAUCUACAAGAAGUCUGGACUCUGCCACGGUACAAUAAUACAAGACGCAUCAUGUUCUUUGUGCAAUACUUACACAAGCCACUGUAGAUAGAUUAAAAAGAGCGCAUGGUCUGUUAAGUGGGUUUAGUAGUAAUCUGUUAAUGCUAUUUAUAUCACUAGUAUAACUUAUUAAUACGGCGAAUCCUCUGUUGACUCUCCGUUAGACCUGGA